UUAGAGGAAGUAAAAGUCGUAACAAGGUUUCCGUAGGUGAACCUGCGGAAGGAUCAUUAACGAAUGCGAAACAAUUCGCGGUAAUUUGACCGUGGCCGCCUCGGUGGCCACGGGAAGUCCACACCCGUGCACACAGCGUGAGUGUCUCCCGACAGGGGAGGCAUUCCGCUCCCCUUUACAUUUAACAACGCCUGUAAYGAAGCAUGUCUAACGGAGCUCUACGGAGUGCCAAUACUAUAAUACAACUUUCAACAACGGAUCUCUUGGCUUUCGCAUCGAUGAAGAACGCCGCGAAAGUGCGAAACGUAAUGUGAAUUGCAGAAUUCAGUGAAUCAUCGAAUCUUUGAACGCAUCUUGCGCUCCUUGGUAUUCCGAGGAGCAUGCCUGUUUGAGUGUCGUGAUUAAAUCAUCUGCCCCCCCGCAGGCCCUUCACUGUGUCAUGGGUGUGGGUGGGACUUGGACGCUGCCUUCUUACUAUGAAGGGCUCGUCUCGAAAUGCAUCAGCUGUUUCCUCGUACGCAGACAACGGUGUGAUAAAGAAAACUCGCUAGCGUCUGUGUCACAUGGGGAUGGCUUCCAGUCCGUCUGUCUUCGGACUACCAAAGACAACACCCCCCUAGAGUAUGACCUCAAAUCAGGCAGGACUACCCGCUGAACUUAAGCAUAU
rnacentral:rRNA from 1 species